GCCUGUUUUGCUCAGUGGAUAGAGCUUCAGCCUGCAAACUGAAAGAUCCUGGGUUCGAUUCCCGUCAAGGGCA
rnacentral:tRNA from 1 species